CGCGUAGGUGGUAGUGCAAGUCUGAGGUGGAAUCCUAGGGCUUAACCCUAAAAUUGCCUUGGAAACUGCAUUACUUGAGUCAGUGAGGGGAGGGUAGAAUUCCUGGUGUAGCGGUGAAAUGCGUAGAUAUCAGGAGGAAGGCCGGUGGCGAAGGCGGCCCUCUGGCGCUGAACUGACACUGAGGCGCGAAAGCGUGGGGAGCAAACAGGAUUAGAUACCCUGGUAGUCCACGCCCUAAACGGUGGGUACUAGGUGUAGGGCUCGUAAGGGUUCUGUGCCGAAGCGAAAGCAUUAAGUACCCCGCCUGGGGAGUACGGCCGCAAGGUUGAA
rnacentral:rRNA from 1 species